rnacentral:rRNA from 1 species
UUCAGAGGGUGCAAGCGUUGUUCGGAAUUAUUGGGCGUAAAGGGCGCGUAGGCGGUGCGGUAAGUCUGUAGUGAAAUCUCUGGGCUCAACUCAGAGUCUGCUGCAGAAACUGCCGUGCUUGAGUGUGGGAGAGGUGAGUGGAAUUCCUGGUGUAGCGGUGAAAUGCGCAGAUAUCAGGAAGAACACCCGUGGCUAAGGCGGCUCUCUAGUACGGUACUGACGCUGAGACGCGAAAGCGUGGGGAGCGAACAGG